CCUCCUUGAAGAUCUUUGCCCCAACAGCCAGGUACAGAUAUUUAUUCACUCUCUGAGCACUUGGGGGUGGAAAGGGGAAAUUUCCACCUGACCUUUCAGCACAUUCCUUUUCUGAAAGUGACUUUUUUAGUGUGAACUCUCUGAUGUGGUUACAUUUGACUGAAGUGAUUCUUAUUUUUAGCCCCUUUAGCAGCAAACCCAAAUUUAAUAUCACUGCAUGUGUGUGUGUUGGCUGAGGGGGGAGUGCUUUGAUAGGUUGAGCUGUUCCUGCGGUUUCGAUCAUGGUCACCAUAUCAGUGGCCAGAUCUCAGUUCUCUGACAGGGAAAAAUGGAAAUGAUAUCUGACUCUUAAUAUUUGGCAAUAAUAUUUGUAAAUAAAUCCUGGUGAUUGCUAUUACAAUUACAAUUAAUAUUAUACUAAUACUACUUCUAGACCAGUCUCGAACAAUACAUUUUUUUUUUCUUUUUACAGCCACCUCUGCGGCAUAUGGAAGUUCCCAGACUUGGGGUGGAAUUGGAGCUACAGCUGCUGGCCUACACCUUAGCCACAGCAACACGGGAUCCGAGCUGCCUCUGCGACCUAUGUUGCAGCUUGCGCCAACACCAGAUCCUCAAUCCACUGAGCGAGGCCAGGGAUUGAACUUGCAUCCUCACGUACAUAAUGCCGAGUUCUUAACCCACUGAGACACAAUGGGAACUUCUCAAACAAUGCGCUUAACCUUUCUGGAAAUGUCUUUAUGACACAUAUAUACGUCAUUUUAACUUUAUUUUGAAAUAUUUUACUGGCCACUGAACAUCAAGGGCCAGAUAAUUGAAGCACCAUUAGCAAGAAAACAUCAAAACCAGGCAGGAGAAGCUUAUGAUCUAACUCAUUGCUUUCCUUGUCUGUUUCCUAAGUGGAAAGCACCACCCUUCCUAUCCUAGGACAGAGUUCUCAAUUCUCUCUAUGACUUUCUAUCUAUGACUUUAUUCGACAAUGACAUGAUAGGCUGUGACUGAGACUCAGGGCAAUUGACAUGUGAAUAACACUCCUAAGUAUCACAAAGGAUGGUCUCUCAUCUCUAUUUUGCUCUUGUUCACAAAAGAUUGAGCUUAUCGAGGAAGCAGCAAGGUUGGGUGGAACUGCUAAAGAUGCUGAUUUGGGUUUUUAGAGGCAGAUGUUGGAAUUGUGCAGGGGCUGGGAAGUCAGAGUGACUGACACAGUGAGAUUAAUGUAUCACCUUUGGAACUGGUGGAGGCUUUGUCCAGAAAGGGGCCAGUUCAGUGCAUUGAAAGCCUUAGGGUUUUUAUAUAACCUAACUUUUAACCCUCACAUUAACCCGACAAGGUGGGUGCUAUGAUUAUUAAAGAUGAGUAAGGUGAGGCUUAGGGAGUUAAUUAAAAUGCCCAAGGUCAUAAGCUGGUGAUUCAUAGGAAGCAAGUUAUCCUUCUAAAUCCACUUCACCUAUUUCCAUCCAUUGUUUCAUCAUGGUUGUGUUUCAUUUGUAAUGAUGACUGCUGGUCCUGAUGCCUUGCUGGACACAUUGGCUCCCGCGUGGCACUGGGUCUGAACGUAAACCCGAUGCAGGUGGAGCUGUCUGGCCAUCCUGAGGAAAGUACAAGCAUCUUCUUACCUGCCCGUCCUGUCAUCCACCAUCUGCACAUCUCUGCGUGCACACGUGUCCAAGUGCCUGUAUCUUCUUUAUGACUCUAACCUUCCUUCCCUGGGGCCGCAGUGAAUCACUGCUUUUCAUUAGGUGGUGUAAUGAAUCCAUCUGCCCAGCGGUGCCUCCGAGCAGCAUCCUCUCACCGUGCACAUCUGUUUCUGCAAAUCUACAGCAAGCAGCACCGACCUCUCUGAGAUCGCAGGCACUGAGAGAGACUUGGUUUUUUAUGUAGGCAUACAUUUCUCCCAUCCUCCCUUUAUGUGGGUUAACUGGGAGACGUGCUGUUCCUGAGCAUCGGGGCACAAUUUUGAAGGGCAGUCCUAUUGACAGGUCUCCUGGAAUGGAUGAAAGAUGACGACAGGUAUGAAUUUUGUGGAUCAGAUCAAGUGUCUCUUUUACACUGCAUUGUGCCUAGAGUUUUCUGCUGCUUCUGAAUGCGACUAACAUAGGAACCUGAAGAUUGGUGGCCAGCGGGAAGGAGGCCUGGGUUUCUGAUGCUUCAGGCCCCAGGCCUCAUUCGCAGAGUUGAAAGAGUCACUCUCUAAAUUCAAAGGGAAGCAGCUGCCACAGAGAACUCAAACGGCAAAUCGGAGACCCCACUCGGAGUUGGCAGAAGACAGCAGGAUCAAACUUCUCUCCUGGUCCCAACUUACGAUAAGUGUGGCCACUAUAUGGCUCUUAGGAAUUGGUAUAUGACGAUAUUUCAUCAGCAGUGUCAAAACAAUGAGGAUAAAAAUAAUUACUGCACACUGAGGCCCUGCAGUUUAUGAGAUGCAGGCACCAUUUCUGGGAAGUGUAGGAGCACCUAAUGCUGAUUGUCCUCUUAGUAAUUGCCUUGGUCCCUGGGGGUCUUAAUGGGCAAGGGGCUUAAUGAGCUUUGGAUCCCUAGAAAAAAGGAAAUGAAACAAAAUAUCUGUUGUUCUGAAUGUAACCAAAAUGGUCCCCAAGACGGAAGACCCUGGAGUCAUAUCGGAAAGGGCCCUCAUGACUGGUGAGAAGGCGAUGCUAUUACUAGGAGACUAAAUUCAAUAAGGGAGUAACAGGGAGUUCCUGUUGUGGCGAAGUGGAAAUGAAUCCGAUUAGGAACCAUGAGGUUUCAGGUUCAAUCCCUGGCCUCACUCAGCAGGUUAAAGCUCUGGCAUUGCCGUGAGCUGAGAUGUAGGUCGAAGACACGGCUUGAUUUGCUGUGGCUGUGGCAUAGGCAGGUGCUACAGCUCCGAUUAGACCCCUAGCCUGGGAACCUCCAUGUGCCACGGGUGCGGCCCUUAAAAAGACAAUAGACAAAAAUAAUGAUAAUAAUAAUGGGAGAAGAAAGGAGCUGGGAAUGUAACAGAAUACCUGCUUCUGGGACUUCCCGUGUGGCUCACAACAAAAUACCUGCUUCUGUGGGUUGACAGUUUGGGGCAGGGGUUGGGGGGAUGGCGUGAGAUAAUACACAGACAAGAAACACAUGGAGGGGCAGGUGCUUUGCAGACAGUCAAAUACUGGGUGGGGUGAGAGAGAAAGAGAGAGAAAGAGAGAAAGAGACUAGGGGUGAUCAGGGAAGGUCUCUUUGAGGAUGUGACCUUGAAGCCAAUAUCUGAAUGUCAAGAAAGAGCCAAUAGACAAAGUUGAGGAGAAGAGCAUUCUAGGUAGAGAAGCAGCCUCUGGGCUCUGAUAAGAAUGACCUUGGUAUAUUUCUUUCUUUUUUUUUUUUUUGGAGUGUUAUAUAUUUAUAAAAAUUUGAAUAACAAAGGAAUUAUAUACCUACCUAAUUGUAAGGUGGCAUAAUCCAUAGUAAAGGUGAUUUAUAAUAAAAACACCAAAUUCAGAGUGUUAGAUCUUGGUAUAUUUCAAAGACAGAAAGGCACCUGACUGGCCGAGCAAGGUAAGUGAGGAAGAAAUGGUAGGUAGAGUGUGACAUCCGAGAGGUAGGCAGGGGCCAUGUGAGCCAUGGAAAGGAUUUGAAUUUUAUUAUCAAUAUGCUGGGGAAGCUAUUGGAGGGGCAUUAAACAGGAAAAUGGCAUGAUCAGAUGUGUUUCGUGUUUUGAAAACUUUUUAUUUUGCUAUGAUCUCAAACUUACAGAAAGGUUACACAAUUACUACUAAAGCUUCUAUAAACUGCUACUUAGAUUUCCAAGUUGCUUACCUUUUUUGGCCCUAUUUUUUUUUGCCAUCAUCUCUUGCUAUACAGUUAUCCAUCUGGAUCUGUGGGGGGAUUUGUACCAGGACCCCCUCAUCGAUACCAAAAUCUGCAGAUGCCCAAGCCCUUAUAUAAAAUGGUAUAUUAUUUGCGUAUAAUCUACUCACAUCCUCCCGUAUACUUUAAAUCACCUCUAGAUUACUUAUAAUACUUAACACAAUGUAAAUGCUAUUGUAGAUACAAUGUAGGAGUUCUCUUGUGGGGCACUGGGUUAAGGAGUUGCCACUGACACUGCAGAGGCUUGGAUCCCUGCUGUGGUGUAGGUUGGAUCCCUGGCCCGGGAACUUCUGCAUUCCGCAGGAGCAGACUGCCUCACCCCCUGCAAAAAAAAAAAAAAAAUGUUAUGGAAAUAGUUGCUGGUACACAGCAAAUUCAAAUUUUCCUUUAAGGAAAUUUUUGGAAUUUUUUUCUGAAUAUUUUUGAUCUGCUGUUGGUUGAAUCUGAGGAUAUGGAACCAGAAGAGACAGCAGGCUGGCUGUAUGUUCUUAUAAAUAUACACAUUAUUUCCCCAAACCACUUGAAAAUAGAGACAUCAUACUCCUGUAACAUGAAACACUUAAAAAAUAUAUUUUCUGAACCACAAAAAACAUUCCCUUUUAUAACUUCAGUACUCAUCAAAAAUUAGGAAAUUUAAGAUUAUACACUGCUAUUAUUUUAAACUGUAGUCCACAUUGAAAUUUCAUUAAUUGUCCCCCUAAUAUCCUUUAUAGCUACUUCUUUUCCAGGUCCCCAUCCAGUCUAGGAUCAAGUAUUGCAUGUGCUUUGUCUUGUAUCUUUGGUUUCCUUUCCUUUUAGUUUUUAGCUCUCAGCUUUUCCUGACCUUGAUAUUUUUAAAGAAUACAGGACAUGUAUUUUGAACAAUGCCCCUCAGUUGCCCUUGUCUGAUUGUGCCUCAUGAUUAGAUUCAAGUUGUGCAUGUCUGGCAGGAAUAUCAAAGAAGGUAUUGCAGUGUCCACCUCAGUGCAUAAUAUUGAGAGGCACAUGGUUUGAUUUGUCCCAAUACUGGUGAUGUUUGCUUUGAUCACUUGGUUAAAGUGAUGUUCCCCAGGUCACUCCUCUGUAAAGUUACUAUUUCUCCCUUUGUAUUUAAUAACAGAUUUACAGGGAAUUUCUUUGAGAUCGUGUAAAUAUCUUGUUGCUCAUCAAACUUUACUAGUUUUAGCAUCCGUUUCUGAAGUUCU
rnacentral:lncRNA from 1 species